UUUUUUUUUUUUUUCCAUGCCCAGUGUAGAGCCCAGGGCAGGGCUUGAACUCAUGACCCUGAGAUCAAGACCUGAGCUGAGAUCAAGAGUCAGACACUUAAGUGACUGAGCCGCCCACAUGCCCUGUUGCAUUUUCUCUCUUGGGAUCUUUGCACAUGCUUGUUCCUUCUUCAUGGAAUGCUCGUCCACUUUUCCCCCACAUCCAUUGGUUGACUCUUUAUUGUCCUUCAGGUCUUACCUUAGAUACGACUUUUUCAAGAAAAUAUUUACUGAUACCUCCCACCAACAUGAGAUCGAUAUUCCUCCUGUGAACGUCCACAGCAUCCUCUAUCUCCCCUAUCUCAGUAAUCUUUUUAAAAAUGUGCAUGGCAGAAAGUACAAGAAUGCAUGAUGGAAAAUAAAGUUUUCUGUCUGUUUCAGACUCCAGACACUGAAUUCUUCUUCAUAGAGGCUACCACUAUGAAGGUAGUGGCUUCAUAGAGGCUACCCACAUUUUCUUGGGUAUCCUUCUAGAGAUUCUCAGCCUGUGUAGGGCAUGCAUAUAGGUUCUCUCUCUCUCUUUCUCUUCCUUUCUUCUUAAAAAUUUUAUUUAUUUAUUUAUUUAUUUAUUUAUUUAUUUAUUUAUUUAUUUACAAGCAAUACCAUACUAUACAUAUAGUCUGAAUCUGGGUGUUUUGCCCUCUACCUACUAUAAACUUAGAAGUUUAUUCCAUAUAUAGAACUGCAUCAGCCUUUUAAAAAAAUUAAAAUACAAAAAAUUUGCGCUAGCGUUUAUAUCCAAUAAACACCAGUGGUAAAUGCAUGGUUCUAUUAGUUUUGGCAAGUGUAUACAGUCAUGUGAAAUGCUACUACAGUCAUGUUAUAGGACAUUUCCAUUACCCCAGAAAGUUCCCGCAUGCCCCAGGCAAUCACUGUCACUAUAGCUUAAGUUUUUAUUUCUAGAAUUUCAUUUCAGUGGAAUCACCACGUAUAGAUUGUUUUGUGUCUGGUUUCUUGUGAUAAGCAUGUUUCUGAGAUUCACCCAUGUUAUUAUGUGUAUUAUGUUCCUUCCACUUUAUUGCUAAGUAAUAUUUCAUUGUAUGGAUGUGCCACAAUGUGUUUAUCCACUCACCUAUUGGUGGACAUUUUAAUUGUUUCCAGUUUGGGGCAAUUAAAGCUACUAUGAACGUUUGUGUACAUGUUUUAUUUUUCUUGGAUAAAUAUGGAGGAAUGGCAUGCCAGGGUGGUAUGGUGGUAGUAUUUAAAUCUUUUAAGAAACUACCAAGCUGUACCAUUUACUAUUCCAGCAGUUUAUGAGAAUUACAAUUAUUGCACAUCCUCCCCAAUCUUUUCUGUGAUCAAUCUUCCUAAUUUUGGCCAUUGUGAUAUAUAUACAGUGUAUUCUCACUGUGGUUUUUCAUUUGCAUUUCCCUGAUAGAAAAUGAUGUUAGCCAUCUUUCCAUGUGCUUCUUUACCAUUGGCAUAUCUUUUUUGGUAAAGUGUCUGCUCAAACCUUUUGCCCAUUUUUAAAUGGAGUUGUUUGUCUUUAUAUUACUUAGAUAUAACAAUUUUUUAUAUUCUAAAUAUAGUCCCUUUGUCAGGUAGGUUUUAUAGUUUUUCUCCCCAAGCUGUGGUUUGUCUGUUUAUUUUCAUAACAUUGUCAUUUGAAGAGCAGAAGUGUUUAAUUUCAAAGUCCAAAUUAUUAUCUUUUAUUUUGCCUUUUGUAUUUUUGAGUCCUGUUUAAGAAAUCUUUGCCAGGGUCAGUUGGGUGGCUCAGUGGUUGAGCAUCUGCCUUUGGCUCAGGUUGUGAUCCCAGGUUUCUGGGAUCGAGUCCCACAUCAGACUCCCUGUGAGGAGCCUGCUUCUCCCUCUGUCUGUCGCUCUGCCUCUCUCUGUGUGUCUCUCAUGAAUAAAUAAAUAAAUAAUCUUUUAAAAAAUCUUUCUCGGGGAUCCCUGGGUGGCUCAGCGGUUUAGCGCCCGACUUUGGCCCAGGGUGCGAUCCUGGAGUCCCGGAAUCCAGUACCACGUCGGGCUCCCGGCAUGGAGCCUGCUUCUCCCUCUGCCUGUGUUUCUGCCUCUCUCUCUCUAUAUGUCUAUCAUGAAUAAAUAAAUAAAUAAAUCUUUAAAAAAAAAUCUUUCUCAAACCCAAGGUCACUAAGAAUCUCCCCUAUGCUUAAGUUUUUUAGUUUUAGCUCUUAUACUUAGGUCUAUGACCCAUUUGAGUCACUUUCUCUAUAUGUAAUGGGAGGUGAGAGUCAAGGUUUGUUUUUUUAUAUAUGACUAUCCAGUUGUUCCAGCACCAUUUGUUGAAAAGGUUGUUCUAUCCCCCCAAGAAUUCCCUUGAAUUGCCUUGGGACCUUUGUCAAAAAUCUACUGAUCAUAUGUGUGUGGAUGUAUUUCUGGAUACUCCAUUGUGUUUUACUGAUCUUUAUAUCUAUUUUCAUGCCAGUAUCACAUUGUCUUGAUUUUUAUAGCUUCAUAAGAAAUCUCUGAGAAGUCAAGUAGUAUAAAUUUCCUAAUAUUUUUUUCUUUCUUUUUUUUAUUUUCUUUUUCAAAUUUUGGCUUUGGCUCUCCUGGGUGCAUUGCAUUUUCCACAUGCAUCUUAGAAUUAGCUUAUCAAUUUCUGCUAAAAAGUCUCCUUGAAGUUUGACUAGGAUUUCAUGGAAUUAAUAGAUCAAUUUAAAGAGGAAUUACAUUUUAACAAUAUUAAGUCUUCUGAUCUCUGAGCACAAUCUUUUUUUAAAUUUUAAUCCAGUAUAGUUAACAUACAGUGUUAUAUUAAUUUCAGGUUUACAAUAUAGUAAUUCAAAAAAAAAAAAAAAAA
rnacentral:lncRNA from 1 species